CCUGACGCCUGAUAAAUAAACUGGAUCUUAUUAUAGGUGAUAUAAGAAAAAAUGAAUAUGUUGCUAGAGGAGGUGAAACAUGCUUCAAUUUCUAAAUAACACCGGAGAAUGCCGAAAAACUUGCACAUGCUGGAGAAAAAAUUGAUUCCGUGGAAAUAAAAACAGUGCCGAUCAGCCGUCAAAAACAAUGGACAUUUUGAUCGUUCAACUGAAUUUAUAGUUUAGUGUAUAACAAAAAUUGAAUAAAUAUUUUCUUUUUAAAUUGAAAAA